UGCAAAGUGGCAACAGAUUUGAACAGCCUGCUGCACGCAUUGCUAGCUGUGGUUCAACAAGAAAUAUGAUAAAAAUCAGUUCUCUGGAAAGAAUCAUAUUGCAAGAUGCCCUAAAACUUUCAGGUUUUGUGGGUCCUGAGCAUUGUGAUUCCCCUGCCUAAUGGAUGAGUCAGCCCUGCACACCUUUACCUCUGCUGCAUCCUUUUGACCAAAGCCAAUCAAAACACCAGUCUCAGAUUGGAAGACUG